GCCCGCAACCAAGAAAAAUCUGGAAAUAGAAGAGGCUGCCUCCUUAGCGCCCAUGCUAGGGAAUAUUUUUGUGACUUUUAGAAGGUUACAACGUAGAAGGGUG